AAUUAUUUUCUGUUAAUCAUCUGCUGUGUUUGCUUCAGGUAAAGAGGUGGGACAAGGAUGCUGACAGGACAGGAGGAGGUGACAUUCAGACAUUCAGCGCAGACAUUUUCAUCCAAAGCAACUUGAGGAAGAAAACAGAAGCAGUUCAUCCUAAAAGUGGGCUGCUGUAAUGUUUACAUCUAUGGAAAGAUGAGCUGAGAAGAAAA